rnacentral:lncRNA from 1 species
CCAGACUCCCGAGCCGGGCUCCAUUGUUGUUGGAGCCGAGGGAAGGGGGAGCAAAACAGCUUUAGAAACCCGUGAAGCCGCGCCUUGGAGCCUUUCCAGGCGGGUCCCCGGAGAAGCGGUAAUGGCCGCGCCGUGGGAUCAAGGGAGCCGGGCUGUGCCGCGGAGAAGCCUGGCUGCAUGGUGUGAUGUUGUGUGUGUUUUUUUUUUUUUUUUUUUUUAAGAGCGCCUCGCGUCCCAGCAGAGCCAGCGGAGCAUCCUACUCAGGUGAUGAGGAACCCUCCGGGCACCCAGCGCAGAUCGCUGCUGCCGCUGGACGCCUCCAUUGUUUGACCAUAACAAGGGCCGGAUUCUCACCCAGGAUCCUGAGGCUCUUGUUGCCCUUCAGCCACUGUGGGCCCUGCCUCUUCCUCUGGAAUGUCUUGGGGGUUUUGACUUCUGUCACUGUGGUAAGUGUUGCCCUUUUUUCACCAUUUCUGUAGAUGGAGAAUCACCCUCAACUAUUUCUAAAGACAAUCCAAAAUGUCUUUGGAGUUCUUUCUAAGCAUGUUCCCUUUAGGGCUCAAUGAGGAAGCAACUUUCCCUGACUCAUGGUUUUUCUUACACUCUUGCCUGGAUCUGGCUUUGACUUCUGUAGACCUUAAGCAGCCUUGCUUAACUCUGAAGUCAGCAGAAGCAUCCUUGUCCCAUCUGGGGUUCCUUUUUGUACCUCUGGACUCUAAUUUUCUCAAUUUCAUGUGAGCCAUUAGUUAUUAAAACUUUCCUUUGCCUGCUCCACUUACCUCUGCUGUCCCGAAGGCCUCUGGAUCAGAAACCUGGUUUCUGGGCUGAUGGUCUCCUGGUUAUCUUUCCCAUUGUCCCUGCCUUCAUUGAGAUACCACAACGUGCUUUUGAGCUGAGUUUGUUACUCUGUGUGUUUCUGGUGUUUUCUUGUUGAAGCUGAAUAUCAGCUUUCUUAUUAAAUAUGAGUUCCUGAAAGUCUUCUUACCUUGGGCAGGAUGUUACAUUAGUCUCUGUGCACAC